rnacentral:rRNA from 1 species
ACUCCUACGGGAGGCAGCAGUGGGGAAUUUUGGACAAUGGGCGAAAGCCUGAUCCAGCCAUUCCGCGUGAGUGAAGAAGGCCUUCGGGUUGUAAAGCUCUUUCGCAAGGGAAGAAAACUUAUCCUCUAACAUAGGAUGAGGAUGACGGUACCUUGAUAAAAAGCACCGGCUAACUACGUGCCAGCAGCCGCGGUAAUACGUAGGGUGCGAGCGUUAAUCGGAAUUACUGGGCGUAAAGCGUGCGCAGGCGGUUUUGAAAGUCAGAUGUGAAAUCCCCGAGCUCAACUUGGGAACUGCGUUUGAAACUCCAAAGCUAGAGUAUAGGAGAGGGGGGUAGAAUUCCACGUGUAGCAGUGAAAUGCGUAGAGAUGUGGAGGAAUACCAAUGGCGAAGGCAGCCCCCUGGCCUAAUACUGACGCUCAUGCACGAAAGCGUGGGGAGCAAACAGGAUUAGAUACCCUGGUAGUCCACGCCCUAAACGAUGUCUACUAGUUGUUGGUGGAGUAAAAUCCAUUAGUAACGCAGCUAACGCGUGAAGUAGACCGCCUGGGGAGUACGGUCGCAAGAUUAAAACUCAAAGGAAUUGACGG